GACAAAAAUGGAAACCAAGUCUAGAAUAAAGGAGUGAGAACCUUUUUGGACCACAAUAAUGGCUGAACCCAAAACCAUGUUCUUCCCUGUUGUAGACCUGUCUCAAAUAAGCGUGUGAUUUCGUAAAACUUCUGCAAAUUAAAAAAAACUAGUCCUUCAAACUUAAAACAGACACGGAUCCCCAAAGGAAAAACACAAUAAUUAGUCAAUCCUAAAUAAACUUCUCUUUUGGAAGUGGAAUAUCUGAAUAGGAAUUGUGAGAUCAACUCUUGACUUCACUCCUCCAUCAUACAAAGCCACAAACCAUGAGAUCAAUGGAAAGUAAUUCCCAAUGAGAAACAAACAUUUUCCCACCCACGCACAUCCUCCUCUGAGCUGGCAGACCUUUUAAUGGUAAACCAUUUCAUAUGGGUUUUAUGAACAUACUGUAUUGGAAUCAAAGAACGUGCCAUAUGCAGGAGCUCCUGCAGUAACAAACCGACUACUUCAGCCAAUUUUCAGUCAAAUUUUAGGCUUGAAGUACAGAAUAACAUCUCAAUUUUCUUCAAUGUUUGAAAUGUGCUAAAGAUGAUGAUCAAGGUAACUAUUUACUGUCCUACAAAUAUCCUGAGCAAAUGACACAGGAGCAGCUAACUGGAGUACUCUUACUUAGAACAAAUAUCCUGAGCAAAUGACACAGGAGCAGCUAACUGGAGUACUCUUACUUAGAAUUUUCUUUUAAUUCUAAAUACUAAUACAAAAACAGUAUUUACAAAGAUGUCUUUUAGAAUAUUAAGUGUUUUACUGUGCUGCUAACACUUUUGCGAAAUAAUAAUAGUUACCAUCUAUGGCAGUGGUAGGAAACCUUCAGCUCUCCCGAUGUUGUGGACUACAACUCUCAGAAUGCUCUUACAGUCAUAAUGCUGCAAAAACAUCAGGGGGGUGCACUUCUUAAUAUCUGGAGUGCCAAAGGUUGCCUACAUCCAUUCUAUGGUGUGAUGUAUCCUGCUUUACUUGCCAUGUAAGUGUUAUCUGUGUGCUGAGAGUCUUGGCUGGCCUGUUGAUGUAUUGAGCAGAGCCAAUCUAGGCAAUCAUUUUUGUGAUUUUGUUGAAUUAAUGAAUGGCUUGGAUUUUUGGUUAUCCAGAAUAACUGCCUUCUGGUGGUGCAUUUUACCAGGUGGUUACUUUGGGAAAUGCAACGGUGAGACUUGGAGAGUGAAUAGAAAAUCACGGCUUCAACUUACUUUAGUCAUACAUAAUCACAUUGCUAUGUUAGAUAUCGGUACACUAGAUCUGUAGACAUACUUUCUGGUAAAUAUUUUAUAUAAAAGCAGAUUGUAGUAGCAAACCUUUACAGGUGAAAGAUAAAUGUUAGGGCUGGCCCUAAUCUGAUAAAGCUUAAUCUGCACAAUGAAUGCAACAAAAUAGAAAAAUAUGUAUGUUUAGGUUUCUUCCGUUUUGAAGUAGGUUCAUGUGGAUUGUUGAGAUAGGUAUGGGAAGUUGGUUACCAUUUUGUAAUUUAUGACUGAGUCUCAUAUCGAAGUUUCAAUUUUUUGUGCCUAUGAGCAUAGAAUUUUUCUGCUCCUCAAUCACUUGUCUAUAAUUUUAAUGUAUCUGAAAAUAAAGGGUCACCCAGAGUAGCGUCUUUGUAAUCAUAAUUAUGGUUCUGCAGAAUGUGCAAAUCUUUGUACUAACUUUUUUACAAAGUUAGGAAACAAUACAUUGAACAUGUCUUACUGAUCAUUUGAUGUUGAUGCUGGUAGCCAGAGAUAUCCAUUACUCCACAGCACUCUAGAUAUACCUACCAAAACUUCAUCAAGUGAGCUACUUGCAAGGAUUUUACUCUUCUCUUGAUAUUUAAAGUAGUGAAAGACUUGUCUGAAACUUGAUCGGGUCUUCACCACCAAAACCUAUAUGUGAGAAGUACAAUUUAGGAUGAAAAAUCAUGGGUAUGAUUUAAUCUUCUGUCUGCUCAUAUUUGAGUUUCAGGAAUGAUAUGAAUUGAUCAACUGUAUAAAGUAUUUAUUCUUGUAAAGAAACUGUGAAACAAACAAAUAUACAUGUAUUUAAGUAUAAUAAAUUCCUAUAAUUCUUUUUAAAAUUUAAAAAGACUUUGUUUGU
rnacentral:lncRNA from 1 species